rnacentral:rRNA from 1 species
GACGUAGGGUGCAAGCGUUGUCCGGAUUUAUUGGGCGUAAAGAGCUCGUAGGCGGCUUGUUGCGUCGACCGUGAAAACCCGGGGCUCAACUUCGGGCUUGCGGUCGAUACGGGCGGGCUAGAGUUCGGUAGGGGAGACUGGAAUUCCUGGUGUAGCGGUGAAAUGCGCAGAUAUCAGGAGGAACACCGGUGGCGAAGGCGGGUCUCUGGGCCGAUACUGACGCUGAGGAGCGAAAGCGUGGGGAGCGAACAGG